GGGAAUUGCGUAUGCGGGCGUGUCUCUUGGACUCUAGAGCUGGUGAACCCAGGGCUGCUUCGGGCUGGAGUGACCCUUCCAAAGGUGCUGGACUAAGACCAUGCUGAAGUACAGGGUACCAAGAGCAAUGUUGGCCCAUACAGGGUUUGGACACAGCAACUGGAAACAGAAUCCGAAUUUUGUUCAGAUAUCCAUCCCUCGGGAAAAAGGACUCUAUAUCCAGUAUGACUGGCCAAGCCAAUCACAGUGAUUCUACUCCUUUUGUGUCUGGAUGUGAUGCCUGGAACCAUGGAAGUCGUCAUGUGAUCAGGAGGAAAGCCAGCUUAGGAAAGCCUACAGUUGGAAGUUGGAAGAGCAUGAGGGUAGAAAAAACUUGGAACCUUGAUGAACUAAUUAACCAAUCCUGAAAAGUUCCCUAUAUCUAGACUGCUUGUUUUAUGAGAUAAUAAAUUUUCCUUAUUGUUUUA